GCUCAUCAGGUUCUUGCAAUUCUACAAACAUCGAAAAGUGUUUUUAUGUUAAUUCCAGUUAUGCAGUUUGCACAUGUCAAAAUGGUUAUUACCCAAUAAAUGACCAAUGUUUUGAUAUUAAUGAGUGUUUAUUUUUAUGCAACUUUGCUAACAGCAUUUGUGUUAACUUUGAUGGUGGUUACAACUGUUCAUGUAAAACAUUUUGGCAGUUAGCUAGCAAUGGUCUUAGUUGUAUUGAUAUCAAUGAGUGUUCUGUUGGAACUCAUAAUUGCUUUGGAGAAAAAAUUUCAUGCAUCAAUCAAAUAGGUGGUUACAAUUGCACAUGUGAUAAUGAUUGUUGGAUUUUAAAGCCUAAUCUUCAAGAUCAGAGAUGUGAAG
rnacentral:lncRNA from 1 species